GCGGGUCUGGGACAAGGGGCGUCCAACAGUCUUCCACACUGGCGAUCGCGGAGUUCGACUCUCCAGGCCCGCUCCA
rnacentral:tRNA from 1 species